rnacentral:rRNA from 1 species
UGUUUUGACUGUAAUACCCUAAAGGCCUCUAAUUCUGUUUGAUUUUGGAAGCUGAAAAGGGUGAGCUCUGAUUAGUACUUGGAUGGGAGACUGCCAAAGAAUACCUGGUUUUAAAGGCU